UUCCCCUGGUAUCCUCCUCA
rnacentral:misc_RNA from 1 species